AAGCAGAUCAGCGGCGUGCUAAUACAUGCAAGUCGAGCGGACAGAUGGGAGCUUGCUCCCUGAUGUUAGCGGCGGACGGGUGAGUAACACGUGGGUAACCUGCCUGUAAGACUGGGAUAACUCCGGGAAACCGGGGCUAAUACCGGAUGGUUGUUUGAACCGCAUGGUUCAAACAUAAAAGGUGGCUUCGGCUACCACUUACAGAUGGACCCGCGGCGCAUUAGCUAGUUGGUGAGGUAACGGCUCACCAAGGCAACGAUGCGUAGCCGACCUGAGAGGGUGAUCGGCCACACUGGGACUGAGACACGGCCCAGACUCCUACGGGAGGCAGCAGUAGGGAAUCUUCCGCAAUGGACGAAAGUCUGACGGAGCAACGCCGCGUGAGUGAUGAAGGUUUUCGGAUCGUAAAGCUCUGUUGUUAGGGAAGAACAAGUACCGUUCGAAUAGGGCGGUACCUUGACGGUACCUAACCAGAAAGCCACGGCUAACUACGUGCCAGCAGCCGCGGUAAUACGUAGGUGGCAAGCGUUGUCCGGAAUUAUUGGGCGUAAAGGGCUCGCAGGCGGUUUCUUAAGUCUGAUGUGAAAGCCCCCGGCUCAACCGGGGAGGGUCAUUGGAAACUGGGGAACUUGAGUGCAGAAGAGGAGAGUGGAAUUCCACGUGUAGCGGUGAAAUGCGUAGAGAUGUGGAGGAACACCAGUGGCGAAGGCGACUCUCUGGUCUGUAACUGACGCUGAGGAGCGAAAGCGUGGGGAGCGAACAGGAUUAGAUACCCUGGUAGUCCACGCCGUAAACGAUGAGUGCUAAGUGUUAGGGGGUUUCCGCCCCUUAGUGCUGCAGCUAACGCAUUAAGCACUCCGCCUGGGGAGUACGGUCGCAAGACUGAAACUCAAAGGAAUUGACGGGGGCCCGCACAAGCGGUGGAGCAUGUGKUUUAAUUCGAAGCAACGCGAAGAACCUUACCAGGUCUUGACAUCCUCUGACAAUCCUAGAGAUAGGACGUCCCCUUCGGGGGCAGAGUGACAGGUGGUGCAUGGUUGUCGUCAGCUCGUGUCGUGAGAUGUUGGGUUAAGUCCCGCAACGAGCGCAACCCUUGAUCUUAGUUGCCAGCAUUCAGUUGGGCACUCUAAGGUGACUGCCGGUGACAAACCGGAGGAAGGUGGGGAUGACGUCAAAUCAUCAUGCCCCUUAUGACCUGGGCUACACACGUGCUACAAUGGACAGAACAAAGGGCAGCGAAACCGCGAGGUUAAGCCAAUCCCACAAAUCUGUUCUCAGUUCGGAUCGCAGUCUGCAACUCGACUGCGUGAAGCUGGAAUCGCUAGUAAUCGCGGAUCAGCAUGCCGCGGUGAAUACGUUCCCGGGCCUUGUACACACCGCCCGUCACACCACGAGAGUUUGUAACACCCGAAGUCGGUGAGGUAACCUUUUAGGAGCCAGCCGCCGAAGGUGGACAGAUGACGCCCCGACU
rnacentral:rRNA from 1 species